AUACGGAGGAUGCAAGCGUUAUCCGGAUUUAUUGGGUUUAAAGGGUGCGUAGGCGGGACUGUAAGUCAGGGGUGAAAUACUGCAGCUUAACUGUAGCAUUGCCUUUGAAACUGCCGUUCUUGAGUACAGUUGAGGUAGGCGGAAUGUGGUGUGUAGCGGUGAAAUGCAUAGAUAUACCACAGAACGCCGAUUGCGAAGGCAGCUUACUAAGCUGUUACUGACGCUGAGGCACGAAAGCGUGGGGAUCAAACAGGAUUAGAUACCCUGGUAGUCCACGCUGUAAACGAUGAUUACUGGUUGUUAGCGAUAUAUAGCUAGUGACUGAGCGAAAGCAUUAAGUAAUCCACCUGGGGAGUACGUCGGCAACGAUGAAACUCAAAUGAAUUGACGGG
rnacentral:rRNA from 1 species